GUUUACGCUCUACAACCCUUUGUGAACAUACCUAUAACUGUUGCUUCGGCGGGUAGGGUCUCCGUGACCCUCCCGGCCUCCCGCCCCCGGGCGGGUCGGCGCCCGCCGGAGGAUAACCAAACUCUGAUUUAACGACGUUUCUUCUGAGUGGUACAAGCAAAUAAUCAAAACUUUUAACAACGGAUCUCUUGGUUCUGGCAUCGAUGAAGAACGCAGCGAAAUGCGAUAAGUAAUGUGAAUUGCAGAAUUCAGUGAAUCAUCGAAUCUUUGAACGCACAUUGCGCCCGCCAGCAUUCUGGCGGGCAUGCCUGUUCGAGCGUCAUUUCAACCCUCAAGCUCUGCUUGGUGUUGGGGCCCUACAGCUGAUGUAGGCCCUCAAAGGUAGUGGCGGACCCUCCCGGAGCCUCCUUUGCGUAGUAACUUUACGUCUCGCACUGGGAUCCGGAGGGACUCUUGCCGUAAAACCCCCAAUUUUCCAAAGGUUGACCUCGGAUCAGGUAGGAAUACCCGCUGAACUUAAGCAUAUCAAUAAGCGGAGGAAAAGAAACCAACAGGGAUUGCCUCAGUAACGGCGAGUGAAGCGGCAACAGCUCAAAUUUGAAAUCUGGCCCUAGGCCCGAGUUGUAAUUUGCAGAGGAUGCUUUUGGUGCGGUGCCUUCCAAGUUCCCUAGAACGGGACGCCAGAGAGGGUGAGAGCCCCGUACAGUUGGACACCAAGCCUUUGUAAAGCUCCUUCGACGAGUCGAGUAGUUUGGGAAUGCUGCUCAAAAUGGGAGGUAUAUUUCUUCUAAAGCUAAAUACCGGCCAGAGACCGAUAGCGCACAAGUAGAGUGAUCGAAAGAUGAAAAGCACUUUGAAAAGAGGGUUAAACAGCACGUGAAAUUGUUAAAAGGGAAGCGCUUGUGACCAGACUUGCGUCCGGUGAAUCACCCAGCUCUCGCGGCUGGGGCACUUCGCCGGCUCAGGCCAGCAUCAGCUCGCUGUCGGGGACAAAAGCUUCAGGAACGUAGCUCUCUUCGGGGAGUGUUAUAGCCUGUUGCAUAAUACC
rnacentral:rRNA from 1 species